AAUUCUUUCCACCCAAAACACCGAAGUUCGUUGUCAAAACCCCUUUUCCCCCAAAUUUCGACCAAGUCAAACCUAGGGCAAGAAAAAAACUUCUGCCAAAAACCCAAAUCUCCUCCACUAAAUUAAUCAGAUCCCAUAAACCCUGAAUCUCCUCUACUAAAUCGCCCAAGUCUCUUCCACUAAAUCUCCCAAAUCUCUCCCAUCACUUGUUUCUUCAAUUCCCGGUAGUAGCAAUAAAUAGUGAAGUCGUCACUUCACCACCUCCGUCACCGCAAACAACUUACAUUAUAUCAACCUGUCUAGACUAAUUUCUGGAUUCAACCAUGUUAAUAUCUCUUAGGUCUACGUCAGAAGUAUGAAAUGAUGCUAAUUUUUUUUUUCUUUGUGCUUAAUUUUUUUCCCUUUCUUCCCCCAACAAUACAGGCUUCCACCAUGCAAUGCCGCUUCAAAGCGCUAUCACCUCUAUCAGCUUUGGAAGUCCUACAUUAAAAAGUCAAUUGUACUAGUUGGACCCGCUCUUGGUGCUGCUCUAGCAAUUGACUUUGCAGUGAACUAUCCUGAAGCUGUUAAAAAGAUGGUUUUGAUCAACCCCGGUGUUUAUGCAGAAGGCACCGAUAACCUUGCAAAAUUACCUAAGAUAGUAGCCUAUGCUGGUGGGAUGUAUAAUGGUGAAGCAGGACGCUUUUUAAGAAACACUAUAAUUAAACUAACACCAGGAGUUGCUGGUAGACUUUGUUGUCACAUUCUACAUAACCAAGGUUUCUUUGUUGAAGAGCAUUCCACUGUGCCUUUACGCUAAUACAUUAACCUUCAAUGGCAUCCCAUUAUCUAAAGGCUUAGAUUGGACUAACAAAGUCAAUUUUUUCUUGUCAAGACAUAUGAUUUUUCUUUAAGGGUGCUGAGAAUUUCAGUGCCAACAAGUUAAGCUAAGUCAAAUACUUGGGCACAUUUGAGGUUGGCUCAAACUUAUUGCUUAGCUUUAAACUUGGCUCAAGUUUGAUUGAGAUUGAAAAAGAAAGCUCAAGGUCCAUUCAUGUUAGGUUGGUGAAGUAUUUGAAUCGAUUUGAGCUCAACUUUGGGCACAGUUUAUAUAAUGUAAGUUGUUCGCUUAUAGUAGUGAUUAUGAUUUAAUCUUCAUUGGAUUUUAUACUGCAUAUUGUUGUAAUUUUGGUAUUUUUUAAAUUGGGGCAAGGCUUUAUAUGAGAAGCUGAAGGGUAAUGGGGCAAUGUAAAAGAAACUGGUUUCAUGAGCCCCAACUCAUUGUCAAUAGCAGGCAGCACUAAUGCCACAGGAACAAGAACCCAAAGGGCACAGUUGUUUGCCAAUUGGUUGGCAAGUGUGAAGAACAAGAAUUUAAAUAAAGUGCCAUACAACUCAGGGUUUGUAAUUCAUUGAUUUCCUUACUUUUAAUCUUGUUUGAAUAAUCUGUUUUUAAGAUUUAAAAACAAUGUUUGUCCUAAUUGUUUAUUUGCAAUCUAGAGAGUUUACAUUUUUGUUAUUUGGUUAUGAUAGACCCCUAAGGUUAUUGAUAGACCUCCCAUUAAGAAGGUGUAUCAAUAUAAAGGGCAUAAGGGUUAAAAAGGUGUGAGAGUGCAUGUGUGUUAGUGGAGGGUGGUUAGGUGUUAUUUGCGUGUGAAAAAUCAAGUGGUUAGUGGAAGGAAUUGCUGGGACUAUAGUCUGUUACUUUCCUUUUGUUGUUGAUAAUUUUUCUUAUGAAUUUUCAUUUCUAUUGACUUAAUACAACACAGAUCUGUUUCCAGUUAUUACGUUGCUUUCCUUUUCUGCAUUGUUGCUAUGGUGUUGCUAGGUUUGUGUGAAAUUGUGAGGGAGUUUCUGAUUUGUGGCAUGGAUUUGUUUGUGUUGAUUGUAUACUCUAGUGUGAAUCUAAAUAUAAUAUGUUGUCAUCAUGCUGAAAUCUUAUUUCGUUUUUGUUUUGGGCUGAUGAACUCUUGUUGGGUAAUUAUUCUAUUGCUUCUUUGUGGUUGUUGUGUUGGGUGUUAGUCGUUGAUGGGGUUUAUGCAACGGAAAACAAAAAUAAAAUUCCCAACAACAACAUUGAACCCAAGAACCUUAUACCUGAUUUACGUUAUUUACGUAUGAAAUGAUAUUGAAUAUAAAAUUUCUAGAUUUCAUACCAGCGUUUGGAGGCUCCUUCAAUCAAUACGAAUUGUUCCCACUCUAAGAUAAGAGUGAACUGUUAGUAUCCAUACAAAGACAAGAGGGCGAUCGACUUGCGGUCUCAAGUGCUAGCAAGACACACAAGCAAAAAGGAUGUAGAAUUUUUCUUCAA